AACUCGGUUUAACUAACUCCUUACUGUACCAGGAAACUCGCCAAAUAUCCUGGAGAGAAUGAGCUGAAUGUUUUUAAGCUGUUAUCCGUUUAUGUAGAGGAACCUUUAGCAGCAAGGAAAUUUGUUGAUGUUUUGCUUCCACUUUUAUCAAAGAAAUCUCAUGCUUGUGAUAUUUGUGUGGACACACUGCAGAUCAUCAAGAAUAUAGCAAGACCUUUAGGGAAUGAAAGCAUUAAAAAGAUUCUCAAAUCGAUUUCUCCACUUCUCAUUUCUGGUGAUCUUGAUGUCCGGGGUUCUGUUUGUGAUGUUCUUGAUGCUCUUGCCAGAAAUGAUUCAUCAUUACUUAAUUUGGCAAAACUUCUUCGUGAACUGAAUGCAACCUCUGCUUCAGAGAUGGGUGAUCUUGAUUAUGAUACUAUUAUUCUGCUUAUGGAAAGUUGAAUGCAGAUUUCUUCCACAAUGUUGAAGAAGAACAUGCAUUAAUUAUUUUGUCAAAUUCUAUACGUGACUUGUCAUCUGAAGAUUUGAUUCUCAGGCAGAGUGCAUUUAGAUUGUUGUCAUCAUUUGUUGAAUAUUCUGGUCAAAUUCUUGAACAAGAAAUGAAACCUGAACGAGGGUGUUCUGGAUCCUGGGUUAUGUACAUAAUAAACAACUUUCUCUUAAAGCACAUGGGAAAUGCAAUGAACAAAGAAGGUGCAGCUCAAA